rnacentral:lncRNA from 10 species
CUCAUUUUUCUUUCACUGACUGGAGGCAGAUGAUGAAUUUGAAGCCCUGACAAAGAGAAGGCAAAAUCAGUUUGUGUCCCUGAGUUGCUAAGUGGAGAAGAAACGUCCACCAACCAGGAAACACCUGCCUCCAACUGUUAAGUGAGCAAGAAAUAAACUUCUGUUGUGUUUGAGCUAUUACACAUUUUCUGAUCUAUUUGUCUACAGGUUAAUUUAUGUUUAAAUAUGUUUUAAACUGCCACUGAACUGACUUAGUCACAUAUUUAAACUUUGCAGUAGGUCUGUGAAAUGUGCUUUGUUUCUGGUCAGCAUGGACACCCGCUUUAAUAGUGGCUUCAGAUGAGGCACCUUGUGACAGAGGAGCUCUUCCCCUGCAGCAACCUUGAAGAUGUUGUGGAAGACAAUAGCCAUUCUUACUUCACUCUGAGGAUCACGAUGGCGUGCAAGGGUGUGCCAAGCACAUUGCUAUCUUUGGCCAUUCUCUCUCACAUUAGUACACCUGGAUGUGAAUGGCACGUUAUCUAUGUAAGCAGUGAUGGUCUCUAUCUGGUGGUAGAAAUGACAGAAUUACACACAAUCAGGACAGCUGAGAUUCCAUUUACUAGCUCAGUAAUCAGAGAAUAUGUAUGACAUCCCAGCAAAAAAUGUUGAACAUGUUCAGAUUUCAUCAUAUCAGCACCACAGUAUCAGUCUUACUGGGAGGUGCUCGCAUUCAGUUCCUGGCUACUGAAGAAAUUUUGCAGGAGUUCCAGAUAACUUACUUGUCCCAUAAU